AUUUAUAUAGAAAUACUUGUUUAUAUAAUAUUUUGUAUCAGAUCGUGAGCGAUCAGAUUUUGUUUAAGUAAUCUUAGUUUUAAGUCGGUCGAAUCAUUUAAAUCGAAAAAAUAUCAAUUUUAGAUUUUUAGCUCUUCCAAAAAUAUCUGAAAACAUAUGUAUGUAGUGUAUGUGUAAAAUAUUAGCUUUGAUUUCGAAGUGGUUCAAAUGAUAUUUCAGGCAAUCGACAAGCGCGUCGACUACGUGCUAGUCGCUUAUCAAAACGGUGGUUAUAAAUAAGUGGCAUCACCACAUUGCAGAGGAAACAUCACUAACUGCAAGAUUUCCAUUGUCAAGUGUGGAUGAAGUAGAAAAAUUAAAUGCGAAAUAAAUAACGCGAAAUAACAAUUGCGAAUGUUAUGUAAUUUAUUGACAAAUUUGAGCUGUUUCUUGAUUUUUUCUUAAUAAUUAUUUUUUUUUUGAGGUAAAGACUAUGAAAUUACUUUUUAAAUGUACUGACGUUCGCUGCUGUCUAAGAAUACAACGUUGAAGAUAUUCAUGGAAAAAAAUCUUCAAGAAGUUUCGAACACCACUCUAAUAGCUAAAAUCAAUAACAGCUAGCGAUGACUCAAAGCCGGCCGGGAAACAGUUGCGCAAAGCAAUCCAACAAUUAAAUAAAACAAAAAAAGUGUAAACAAAAUUAAAAAUAGAAAUAAAAGCGAUUAUGAUAUGAAUGUUGGCAUAACAUAUAAAAAUUGUGUUUCGUAUGUAUUAUUAAGCGAUGAAUUGUAUUCAAUGUGUAAGUAGUGAAAUAUAGCAAGUGGUAGAUAGUGAAGUAGGUGGUGAAAUAUGGAAUAUGGUAGGUGGUGGGGUAGGAAAUAUGUAUAUGAUAGAAAGUGGUAAGUGGUGAAGUAGCUAGUGAAUAGUGUUAACCGAAUACCGCCAAUGACAGCGCCAAGUAAAAUUCACGCGUAAACUUCAUAGCCGGUAAUCUGUUGGGUAACCAGUGGUGGUUACCAAUAGCCAGUGAAUUCACUAGUGUUUA